AACUGCUCAGUAUCAUGUGGGAUUACUGGUCAAAGUACUCGAAUGUUUGGACAUGAUAAGCAUUCUAGGAAUUCAAAGAAGACAUUCCUCAGACCAUUUUAAGUCUUCUUGUUACUUCAGGUUCAUUUUGAAAAGACUAAAUGUGUUUCUGGAAACUUGAGAUAAUUGGUGAUGGGAGACAACGCUGCUACUAUGAACACAAUUGAGCAGUAAAUGACCUGGGUUCCCAUGGGACAGAAGAUUAUUAUGACUAGUGAAGCACCUGGGCAAACCCCCCUCCCUCCAUUCUGUGUGGCAACCUAGAAUGAAGAGAAAGAUGGCUGCAGCCAGGUUCUUUGUAGAGUUGACAGAAUUCUGCAAAUUAUAAUGUAAGUAUUGAAAAAAAACCCAUUUAUCCUAUCUAUAUUAAUCUGCACUUGUUCUGGGCUAGCAAGUGGAAGAAAGGAUGGUAAUUGCACAGUGUACCAAAUACUCUGUAAACUUCAAAUGGUAAUAAUUCAUGAAAACUCACAUAAAGUAUUUGAUUACAAAAGAAGCUAACUGUAAUCUCACCUUUAGAGCUCUUUGACUGAAGUGACCAAACAUCCAAAAUAUUAGCUUAGUGCUACAUCACAAGUUUGAUUUCAAGAUAUUAUAUUUUAAUUUGAUGUAUCAUAUACAAUGUUCUUUCAAUGUAUUGUUCACUAUUUAUAGCUUUUCUUUUUACUUUUAUUGAUUUCACUUGUGUUAAUCAAAUACCAUUACAAUUUAUUAAAUACAUCUUUUGCCUGGAAAUGAGUAUGACAUCUCUUAUACUAGGUAUUUUUUAAAAAAUGUAUGUUUCAUUUCAAUUCUUCUUUCUGUAGUUGCAUUGGAGAGAUGGACAGCCAUAUCAGACAAGAUGAAUGAAUGAAUAUAUGAAUGAAUAAAUUUAUUUAUUAAAUAAAUAAAUAAAGUAUUUAUUUGUUAUUUUAGACCUGCUAGUUAUUUGCUCAUUAUCCACUCAUAUUGUAUUACUUUUUUAAUUGCAUAUUUUUUUAUUUAUUAUAAUUUCUACACUCUUUUAAAUGUACAUUUGUAUCAGCAUUAUUCCUUCCCAUUUUCCUGGAAAAUUAAUAAAACAGAAAUAAAAAA